GGAAACAGGACUGGCGCUUGGAAAUGAGCUUUGCCGUGGGGUGACAAGGCCACCCUUUUCCAGCCAGCAGUUCCGUAUUGCAGCUGAACACUGUCUCCCAGGAAGAAGCAUUUGUCUUCCUCGGAUGGGGUGAGGCUGGGACACACCUGGCGAACAGCACUGUGGGGACAGACAGAUGGAAGACUGUGGCUCGGUCUGACAGAUUGCUUCAUUUCUUCAAGCAACGGGAAAGGAAAGAUGGAGAAAUUAAAACUCCGGUUCUGGCAGCACCGGAAAACCCAAGUGUUGAACACAAAACAGGAGGCAGCGUGGCUCCUGGCAGCGUUCGAGGUCCAUGAAAAACACCUGCUCUGCUGGCAGCCGGGAAAGAAGGGCCCAGAAUAGUAGCGGCACUCCCACUCGCAAAAACACAGGAACUCCCCUGCACUGUCGUCAAGAGGGGACUGUCAGGAGGGAGCCUGGAGAAGCUGACUUGAGAAACGCACCCGAUCCCAUUAAAAGGACUCAAAUUGAAUUUCCCCUACAAUAGGAAGAGAGUGAAAUCCAAAGCCUCUCCUUCUCAGACUGAGUGAGGCCCACUCAGGGCCCGAAGGUGGCUAUGACCGGCUUGCAGGAAGUGGACAAGUGCACAAGUGACUCUAAGACUAGCCAGCCGUGGAGCGUGGGGCCAGGAGGCCACUGAGGGAGGCUCUCUUUGCUACACAGCGUCAUUUGCAGUGGGCAAGAUAUGGACACAACCUAAGGGCCCAUCGAUGGAUGAAUGGGUGAAGAAGAUCUGCCACACACACACACAGACACAUUAUGCAGCCAUAAAACAGAAUCUUGCCAUUCGCUACAACAUGGAUGGACCUAGAGGGCACUGUGCUGAUGAAAUACAUCUGAACAUCAGGCAGAGAAAGGCAAAUACCUUAUGAUCUCACUUUCGGUGGAAUCAGAAACAAACAAACAAAAACCCCAAGCUCAUGGAUGGAGCUCAACUGUGGUUGACAGCGGUGGGGGCUGGAGGUGGGUGAAAUGGGUGAAGGCGGUCAAAAGGUGCCAACUUCCAAUUAUAAGGUAAAUAAUUCUAAUAUCUUAUAAGCAUCAAAGGGGGAUGUCAUGUACAGCAUGGCGACGAUAGUACUGCAUAUUUGAACAUUGCUGAGAGAGUAGAGCUUAAAAGUCCUCAUCACAAGAAAAAGUAAUUUGUAAUAACAUGUGGUGAUGGAUGUUAUCAGAUUUAUCAUGAUCCUUUUGCAAUUUUGUAUAGAUCCAAUCAUUAUGUUGUACAUGCAAAACUAAUAUAAUGUUAUAUGUUCAUUAUACCUCAAUUAAAAACAUUUUUUUAGCCCUGGCUGGUGUGGCUCAGUGGACUGAGCACCAGCCUGCAAACCAAAAGGUCACCAUUUCAAUUCCCAGUCAGGGCCCUGGGGGCCCUGUCCCCAGUUGGGGGUGCAUGAAAGGCAACCAAUCGGUGUUUCUCUUCCUCUCUUUCUCCCUUCCCCUCUCUCUAAAAAAAAAUUAAUUAAAUCUCUUAAAGCAAUGUUUUUCAGACCAAAGGGAGAAAAGGAAAAACAAAACAAAACAACAACAACAAAAAAAGACCAAAGAGUUGCUGCAAAAACCUACAGUAUGGUUCAGAACGUGGGCUUUGCAUCUCACAUAACGGACUGUAUCAGCCUUGGGCUGGGAUAGCGCACCAGCCAGUCUGAUUGCAAGAUCAAAGAAAAAGGAAGAGGAGGUUUUCUCCCUGAAGCUGUUAAAGGAGAAUAGUUGCUCCCUCAUUUUUGGGUUGUUUACAUGUCUUCUAUUGAUGUGAAAACAAUUUGGUUCUGUUCAAGUGUUCUUUUAAACAUUCACAGAGGGUGAAAUAUUUGCUUUCUUUAAGAAUUAAAAGCUUCCCUGGCUGGUGUAGCUCAGCAGAUUGAGUGUUGGCCUGUGAACCAAAGGGUCUCUAGUUCAAUCCCAGUCUAGGACACAUGCCUGGGUUGCAGGCCUGGUCCCCAGUUGGGAGCCUGUGAGAGGCAACCACAUGCUGAUGUUUCUCUCGCUCUCUUUCUCCCUCCU